CAAAGGGGACUUACUGUCCUAUGGGCUCUGCCUUUCCACAGCCAUGUCCUCCUGGUUAUUACAGCAACUCAACUGGGAAUACUAGGAUCAAGGACUGUCUCCUGUGUGAUGCAGGGUAUUUCUGUGAUGGGACUGGACUUGUUUCUCCAACUGGAUUAUGUGAGGCUGGGUUUUACUGCAGUGGAGGAGCCAUUUCUGCUAAACCUCCCAGGACAACGGUCAGAGGAGGACCCUGUCCACCGGGACAUUACUGUGAGGUGGGGAGCAGCAGAGCCCAGCCGUGCCCUGCGGGGAGUUACAGCCCAUCCUGGAGCAUGGCACAGUGUUUGGAGUGCCCAGAAGGCUUUUA